CAAAAACACACACUUCACCUAAGGGUGCCCAGUCUGUCCAUAACGCUCUGCUGUUUCUGCUGUGCUCUACCGUGACCCUAUCGCCAAGGUGACUGGGAGAAUGCCCCGCCUUCUCUCUCUGCUGCCUCCGCUCUCCCCCAUGACCUCGCUGCCCCCUCUCCUGCUGCCAUCGAAUCAGGCAACGCCCAUCAUGGCCAUCUGAACUCUAUGGACAAAUUAAAAGUGAAUCGCCUCCUCACACACACACACUCCUCACUGGCUCACUGUAACAGUGCUGCAGAG
rnacentral:lncRNA from 1 species